rnacentral:tmRNA from 1 species
GGGGGCGAACGGUUUCGACGGCAGGACGGAGGGCACAGAAGCGCGGGUCGAGGCUGGGGCAUCCUCGCUAAUCAGGCUCCACAAGCAAAACGCCAACGAUAACUACGCUCUGGCUGCUUAAGUAGCAGUCACGUUCCUCGGAGCUUCGCCACCGGGCUCCGAAGGGGCGACACGAAGGUGGCUGGGUUGUCGCAGCUUGUUUCCCGAGCGACGCCGAGACUCUAGGGGAACUGGAACGGAGGGAUCCCGUCCGUGGGAGCCCCGAGUUUGAGACCAAAUCGCGGACUACACCCGUAGGGCUUCUGGGCUGGCCCCUGUCGGACGGGGGUUCGAUUCCCCCCGCCUCCACCA